rnacentral:rRNA from 1 species
GACGAACGCUGGCGGCGUGCUUAACACAUGCAAGUCGAACGGAAAGGCCCCUUUGGUGGUACUCGAUUGGCGAACGGGUGAGUAACACGUGAGUAACCUGCCCUUGACUUCGGGAUAACUUCAGGAAACUGGGGCUAAUACCGGAUAGGAAUCCUUGCUGCAUGGUGGGGGUUGGAAAGCUUCGGCGGUUUUGGAUGGACUCGCGGCUUAUCAGCUUGUUGGUGGGGUAGUGGCUUACCAAGGCUUUGACGGGUAGCCGGCCUGAGAGGGCGACCGGCCACAUUGGGACUGAGAUACGGCCCAGACUCCUACGGGAGGCAGCAGUGGGGAAUAUUGGACAAUGGGCGGAAGCCUGAUGCAGCAACGCCGCGUGCGGGAUGACGGGCUUCGGGUUGUAAACCGCUUUCAGCAGGGGCGAAGCUUGUGGUGACGGUACCUGCAGAAGAAGCACCGGCUAACUACGUG